AUUGAACGCUGGCGGCAUGCCUUACACAUGCAAGUCGAACGGUAACAGGCCGCAAGGUGCUGACGAGUGGCGAACGGGUGAGUAUUGCAUCGGAACGUGCCCAGUCGUUGGGGAUAACUGCUCGAAAGAGCAGCUAAUACCGCAUACGACCUGAGGGUGAAAGCGGGGGACCGAAAGGCCUCGCGCGAUUGGAGCGGCCGAUGUCAGAUUAGGUAGUUGGUGGGGUAAAGGCCUACCAAGCCGACUAUCUGUAGUUGGUCUGAGAGGACGACCAGCCACACUGGGACUGAGACACGGCCCAGACUCCUACGGGAGGAAGCAGUGGGGAAUUUUGGACAAUGGGGGCAACCCUGAUCCAGCAAUGCGGCGUGCAGGAAGAAGGCCUUCGGGUUGUAAACUGCGUUUGUCAGGGAAGAAAUCCUGUGGGUUAAUACCUCGUGGGGAUGACGGUACCUGAAGAAUAAGCACCGGCUAACUACGUGCCAGCAGCCGCGGUAAUAC
rnacentral:rRNA from 1 species